GUGCUUGCUUCAGCAGCACAUAUACUGAAAUUGGAACGGUACAGAAAAGAUUAGCAGGCCCCUGCUCGAGGAUGACACGCAAACUCUUGAAGCACUCCAUAUUUUA
rnacentral:snRNA from 1 species